GGCGCCGAGGCUGAGCUAGAAUCUCGGUUCUCCAAGGACCCAGGCGGCCAGGAACCCAGGGCGCGGCAGGAAAAGUGGUUGGGAGUGACGCAUCGUGGGCCAGGGGAGCCGUCUGACCACAGCCGCUCAGAGGAUGUGAGACAUGAGGGCACUGCAAUAGCCCCGCGCCUGCAACAGGGGGACGAGCAUGGCUGGCCCUGCGGGGGCCACUGCCCCCACGCAGGUGGGAAGCAGCUAAAGGACCUGUCCCAGAGCCCUCGGGCUGCUGCUUCAUCCUGAAGACUUGUAAGGUGGCGGCAGUCGCCCCCUGGGUAUUGCCAGAGGGUUUUUGGCUCCAAGGGCUCCACAGCUUCCCAGCCCGGAUCCCAAGGCCCGCAAACCACCCUCAACACCUGCGCCAGACCGCACGCUCCACGCUCCGUACUUCUGAGCUUCCGAAAUGUUUCUAAAAACCAAACAAAACCAGACACUGGCCCUGGUGCUGCCUCCUUGAUGCCAUCCUGAUGUGUCAAUUCACUCCUCCCGCAGGUGCCAUGGUUUCAGUCACAGGGGCACCUACCCUCCUCCGCCACGUCCCCCCUACCUCCAGAUUCCCAUCACACUGUCAGCCUCCAAGUCCUGUCCCAGGGACCCUCCUCCGCAGCCAGCAGACUGGUGAGGACCUGCAUCCACUCCAUGCUGCUCUCAGAGGCUCCCUCUGCACUACCCAGCUGUGCUCAGCCUCCCGAGCCCAGGCCUCCACCUUGGGGAGGCCGGAGCCUCCUUGCCUCUCUGCCUCCCCAUGGACCUGCCCCUCUGCUUCCACUGGGGCCUCAGGAUGCUCCUUUCUGCUGCCUGUCCUGUGACCCCUGCCCCACAUAGCAAACUUUUCCACUUUUCUUUGUUAAAAUAAUUAAGCAUGAAUAUUAAGAACAAUGUUUUUAUGUCAAGUGCGCUGUAAUGACAGUUGAUCGGGGGGGAAGGCUUAGCGCUCCUCUGAAUCCCAAGCUUCACAAACCUGGUCUCCCAGCACCACUGGGGACUGAGGACAGGCCUGGGAAGGAUCACCUUGGGUCCAGAACGUUCUCCCCAUCCGGCUCUUGCUGUCCCGAUGGCUUCUCCUGCUCUUUCCUGGUUCCUCAUCUUGGUGUUCCUUGUACCUCCCACACCUCCCCAUUUCCAACAGGACAAAACCCAAACCUGUUGCUACAGGGCUUCAUG
ensembl:lncRNA